UACCAGCACCCCGAGUGGUCGGGACGUUUAUUGGGCCUAAAGCAUCCGUAGCCGGUUCUACAAGUCUUCCGUUAAAUCCAACUGCUUAACAGGUGGGCUGCGGAAGAUACUAUAGAGCUAGGAGGCGGGAGAGGCAAGCGGUACUCGAUGGGUAGGGGUAAAAUCCGUUGAUCCAUUGAAGACCACCAGUGGCGAAGGCGGCUUGCCAGAACGCGCUCGACGGUGAGGAUGAAGC
rnacentral:rRNA from 1 species